rnacentral:rRNA from 1 species
UACAGAGGGUGCGAGCGUUGUCCGGAAUCACUGGGCGUAAAGGGCGCGUAGGUGGCGGCCCAAGUCCAUGGUGAAAGCUCGAUGCUCAACAUCGAGUCGGCCACGGAUACUGGGUUGCUCGAGCACUGUAGGGGCAGAUGGAAUUCCGGGUGUAGCGGUGGAAUGCGUAGAGGAUCCGGAAGAACACCGGUGGCGAAGGCGGUCUGACUGGGCAGUGCUGGACACUUGAGGCGCGACAGCGUGGGGAGCAACA